rnacentral:lncRNA from 1 species
GACCCGGGCUACGGGGCUCCGGGGCGUCUGGCCUGGGUGGGACUGAGCCCAUCCAGGGACUGGGACUCCGGGAUUCUGUUGUAGGUGGAUCUGGGGCAGGCUCAGGACCAAGUCCCUCUCCUUCCACCAAGGAGCGCCCAGAGGCCGGCGGGAGCUCCAGGUUCACCUCCUCCUCCUCCAGGAAAUCCCACUUCCAACUGGAUGAACUACUGAAAGCUGCUGAGUGUCCUGCAGCAGGUUUGACAGAAUUCAUGUUGCUGCCAUAGAGGGGCUCUUUUCAAACUGAUGUCUUAAAUCUUGUUCAGGCCGUUUCCAAUCCAGAGGAAGACCUUCUAGAAGAAGUGAUGGGUGGGAGAGUGCUGACAUACUAUGUGAAGCUACUAUUUGGAGUUGGACACGAGUGCAUGUGACCUUGUGCCACAGCGGGAAUCUUGACUACCACACAAAUUAAUCCACUCAAAUGUUGGCAAGUGGAGCAGAGUCCCAGGACAGUCUGCAAUCUCUACAGGUACAGAAACACCCCCAGUUCAAGGAUCUU